UUUCCGUAGGUGAACCUGCGGAAGGACCAUUAAAGAGAAUAUGCCCUUCGGGGUAGAUCUCCCACCCUUUGUUUAUAUUACCUUUGUUGCUUUGGCAGGCCCGUCUUCGGACCACCGGCUUCGGCUGGUCAGUGCUUGCCAGAGGACCCAAAACUCUUAUUAUUAAUGUCGUCUGAGUACUAUAUAAUAGUUAAAACUUUCAACAACGGAUCUCUUGGUUCUG
rnacentral:misc_RNA from 1 species